rnacentral:snoRNA from 1 species
AGGGAUGAUGAAUUUUUCCCUCACUCUGAACUGUGAUGAGGAGCCGAUGCUCUGACCU